rnacentral:rRNA from 1 species
GAUUGCCCUAGUAACGGCGAGUGAACAGGCAAGAGCUCAGAUUUGAAAGGCACUUUUGUGCCGUUGUAUUCUGAAGUUAGGGUCCUGAGAAACGAUGCUUAAGUCUUCUGGAAAGGAGCGCCAUGGAGGGUGAUAGCCCCGUCUAGCAUUGACCUCAUAUAGGAUCUUAACAUGGAGUCGAGUUGUUUGGGAAUGCAGCUCAAAUGGGUGGUAUGCUCCAUCUAAAGCUAAAUAUCUGCGAGAGACCGAUAGUAAACAAGUACUGUGAGGGAAAGAUGAAAAGAACUUUGAAAAGAGAGUGAAAAAGUACGUGAAAUUGUUGAAAUGGAAGGGUAGGCCGCUAACCAUGUAGAGCCGUGUUUGGGGGGAAGAUAAAUGCUGUAGAAUGUAGCUCCUCGGAGUAUUAUAGAUGCAGUUCAUAUUCCCACCCGAGCGCGAGGAU